rnacentral:rRNA from 1 species
GGGUUGUGAGGUUAAGCGACUAAGCGUACACGGUGGAUGCCCUGGCAGUCAGAGGCGAUGAAGGACGUGCUAAUCUGCGAUAAGCGCCGGUAAGGUGAUAUGAACCGUUAUAACCGGCGAUUUCCGAAUGGGGAAACCCAGUGUGACUCGUCACACUAUCAUUAACUGAAUCCAUAGGUUAAUGAGGCGAACCGGGGGAACUGAAACAUCUAAGUACCCCGAGGAAAAGAAAUCAACCGAGAUUCCCCCAGUAGCGGCGAGCGAACGGGGAGGAGCCCAGAGCCUGAAUCAGCAUGUGUGUUAGUGGAAGCGUCUGGAAAGGCGCGCGAUACAGGGUGACAGCCCCGUACACAAAAGCGCAUGUGCUGUGAGCUCGAUGAGUAGGGCGGGACACGUGGUAUCCUGUCUGAAUAUGGGGGGACCAUCCUCCAAGGCUAAAUACUCCUGACUGACCGAUAGUGAACCAGUACCGUGAGGGAAAGGCGAAAAGAACCCCGGCGAGGGGAGUGAAAAAGAACCUGAAACCGUGUACGUACAAGCAGUGGGAGCACAGGUUUACCUGUGUGACUGCGUACCUUUUGUAUAAUGGGUCAGCGACUUAUAUUCUGUAGCAAGGUUAACCGAAUAGGGGAGCCGUAGGGAAACCGAGUCUUAACCGGGCGUUAAGUUGCAGGGUAUAGACCCGAAACCCGGUGAUCUAGCCAUGGGCAGGUUGAAGGUUGGGUAACACUAACUGGAGGACCGAACCGACUAAUGUUGAAAAAUUAGCGGAUGACCUGUGGCUGGGGGUGAAAGGCCAAUCAAACCGGGAGAUAGCUGGUUCUCCCCGAAAGCUAUUUAGGUAGCGCCUCGUGAAUUCAUCUCCGGGGGUAGAGCACUGUUUCGGCUAGGGGGCCAUCCCGGCUUACCAACCCGAUGCAAACUGCGAAUACCGGAGAAUGUUAUCACGGGAGACACACGGCGGGUGCUAACGUCCGUCGUGAAGAGGGAAACAACCCAGACCGCCAGCUAAGGUCCCAAAGUCAUGGUUAAGUGGGAAACGAUGUGGGAAGGCCCAGACAGCCAGGAUGUUGGCUUAGAAGCAGCCAUCAUUUAAAGAAAGCGUAAUAGCUCACUGGUCGAGUCGGCCUGCGCGGAAGAUGUAACGGGGCUAAACCAUGCACCGAAGCUGCGGCAGCGACACUGUGUGUUGUUGGGUAGGGGAGCGUUCUGUAAGCCUGCGAAGGUGGCCUGUGAGGGUUGCUGGAGGUAUCAGAAGUGCGAAUGCUGACAUAAGUAACGAUAAAGCGGGUGAAAAGCCCGCUCGCCGGAAGACCAAGGGUUCCUGUCCAACGUUAAUCGGGGCAGGGUGAGUCGACCCCUAAGGC